GACGAACGCUGGCGGCGUGCUUAACACAUGCAAGUCGAACGGAAAGGCCCUGCUUUUGUGGGGUGCUCGAGUGGCGAACGGGUGAGUAACACGUGAGUAACCUGCCCUUGACUUUGGGAUAACUUCAGGAAACUGGGGCUAAUACCGGAUAGGAGCUCCUGCUGCAUGGUGGUGGUUGGAAAGUUUCGGCGGUUGGGGCUGGACUCGCGGCUUAUCAGCUUGUUGGUGGGGUAGUGGCUUACCAAGGCUUUGACGGGUAGCCGGCCUGAGAGGGUGACCGGCCACAUUGGGACUGAGGUACGGCCCAGAAUCCUACGGGAGGCAGCAGUGGGGAAUAUUGCACAAUGGGCGGAAGCCUGAUGCAGCAACGCCGCGUGCGGGAUGACGGCCUUCGGGUUGUAAACCGAUUUCGCCUGUGACGAAGAGUGAGUGACGGUAAUGGGUAAAGAAGCACCGGCUAACUACGUG
rnacentral:rRNA from 1 species